AUCGAACGCUGGCGGCAUGCUUAACACAUGCGAGUCGAACGGCAGCACAGUGUGUAGCAAUACACAUGGGUGGCGAGUGGCGGACGGGUGAGUAACACGUAGGAAUCUACCCUAAAGCGGGGGACAACCCGAGGAAACUCGGGCUAAUACCGCAUAAUCUCUGAGGAGAAAAGCUGGGGCAACCUGGCACUUUAGGAGGAGCCUGCGUCUGAUUAGCUAGUUGGUAGGGUAAGAGCCUACCAAGGCGACGAUCAGUAGCUGGUCUGAGAGGAUGAUCAGCCACACUGGGACUGAGACACGGCCCAGACUCCUACGGGAGGCAGCAGUGGGGAAUAUUGGACAAUGGGGGCAACCCUGAUCCAGCAAUGCCGCGUGUGUGAAGAAGGCCUUCGGGUUGUAAGCACUUUAGUUGGGGAAGAAGGUUUGCAGUUUAAGAGAUAGCAAAUUUGACGGUACCCAAAGAAUAAGCACCGGCUAACUCUGUGCCAGCCGCCGCCGUAA
rnacentral:rRNA from 1 species